rnacentral:rRNA from 1 species
UGGGGAAUUUUGGACAAUGGGCGAAAGCCUGAUCCAGCAAUGCCGCGUGUGUGAAGAAGGCCUUCGGGUUGUAAAGCACUUUUGUCCGGAAAGAAAUCCUUGGCUCUAAUACAGUCGGGGGAUGACGGUACCGGAAGAAUAAGCACCGGCUAACUACGUGCCAGCAGCCGCGGUAAUACGUAGGGUGCAAGCGUUGAUCGGAAUUACUGGGCGUAAAGCGUGCGCAGGCGGUUUGCUAAGACCGAUGUGAAAUCCCCGGGCUCAACCUGGGAACUGCAUUGGUGACUGGCAGGCUAGAGUAUGGCAGAGGGGGGUAGAAUUCCACGUGUAGCAGUGAAAUGCGUAGAGAUGUGGAGGAAUACCGAUGGCGAAGGCAGCCCCCUGGGCCAAUACUGACGCUCAUGCACGAAAGCGUGGGGAGCAAACAGGAUUAGAUACCCUGGUAGUCCACGCCCUAAAACGAUGUCAACUAGUUGUUGGGGAUUCAUUUCCUUAGUAACGUAGCUAACGCGUGAAGUUGACCGCCUGGGGAGUACGGUCGCAAGAUUAAAACUCAAAUGAAUUGAC